UACAGAGGUGGCAAGCGUUGUUCGGAAUUACUGGGCGUAAAGGGCGCGUAGGCGGUCCGAUAAGUCCCGUGUGAAAUCCCUCGGCUCAACUGAGGAAUGGCACGGGAAACUGCCGGGCUUGAGUUCGGGAGAGGGAAGCGGAAUUCCGGGUGUAGCGGUGAAAUGCGUAGAUAUCUGGAGGAACACCCGUGGCGAAGGCGGCUCUCUGGAACGCAACUGACGCUGAUGCACGAAAGCUAGGGGAGCGAACGGG
rnacentral:rRNA from 1 species